UAGAAUCAUUACAAAUGAUGCUGUGAAAUGU
rnacentral:piRNA from 1 species